GUGGUUUAAUUCGAAGCAACGCGAAGAACCUUACCUAAGCUUGACAUCCCAAUGACAUCUCCUUAAUCGGAGAGUUCCCUUCGGGGACAUUGGUGACAGGUGGUGCAUGGGUGUCGUCAGCUCGUGUCGUGAGAUGUUGGGUUAAGUCCCGCAACGAGCGCAACCCUUGUCUUUAGUUGCCAUCAUUAAGUUGGGCACUCUAGAGAGACUGCCAGGGAUAACCUGGAGGAAGGUGGGGAUGACGUCAAAUCAUCAUGCCCCUUAUGCUUAGGGCUACACACGUGCUACAAUGGGUAGUACAGAGGGUUGCCAAGCCGUAAGGUGGAGCUAAUCCCUUAAAGCUACUCUCAGUUCGGAUUGUAGGCUGAAACUCGCCUACAUGAAGCUGGAGUUACUAGUAAUCGCAGAUCAGAAUGCUGCGGUGAAUGCGUUCCCGGGUCUUGUACACACCGCCCGUCACACCACGGGAGUUGGAGACGCCCGAAGCCGAUUAUCUAACCUUUUGGAAGAAGUCGUCGAAGGUGGAAUCAAUAACUGGGGUGAAGUCGUAACAAGGUAGCCGUAUCGGAAGGUGCGGCUGGAUCACCUCCUUUCUAAGGA
rnacentral:rRNA from 1 species